rnacentral:tRNA from 1 species
CAGGUGUAGCUCAGUGGUAGAGCGUCCGCCUGACACGCGGAAGGUCACGAGUUCGAUCCUCGUCAUCUG